UGCCCCUUCCCUGGAGGCCUGGCCUCCCAGGCCGAGGGUGCCCCGAUCUGAAGGCGCGACAGGGGCAGCAGGGUGGCUGUCCGGGGACGGGACGGACCGGGUCACAGGCCACUCCGGGGACCGCAGACGCCGACUCCACCUUUUUCGGCCUUUCCCGAGAGGGGGCGAGGAAGGAGGAAGUGGGCGGAGGAAGGAGCAGGGUGCGGGGAGGCGGGAAGGGCCGAGCGGAGCGCGGGUUUGGGAAGGGGGAGGAAGUGAGGCGAGGGCGGAGGAGGUGGGAGCCGGGCGGCCCGGCGAGGGGCGGGGAGAGCCGGGCGGCCACCCGCGGCUCCCGGCCCUCGCCCUCCCGCGAGCCGCGCGGCCUGCCGAGCCGGGCCUGCCCCCCUUGGCAGCAGACAAAAGGCCAUUUCUGAGUUACACCGAAAAUGUGUUACUUUGCCAGAGGGCCGGGCCGGGUCCGCGGGGCCCAAUCGCGGGCCGAGCCGAGCGUCCGCGGAGGGGGGCUGUCAGUCACCGGGCACCCUCGGUGCAAGGGGCCCCUUGUCAACUUCCCCUGCCUUUGAAGUGACUGGGAUGGAGGUGCUCAAUUAAAAGCCCAUCAGUCUGGAUAUUUGCUAAGCACCUACUAUGUCUAAGUAAUGGGAGGCAAGGAAGAAUCAGAAAUGAAUCCUAUCAUCCUGGAGGAGAGCCACGAAUCUCUCCAGAAAAAGCCUGAUCUGAGAAGGCAGCGUGUUUUGUGAGGAUGAACAAGGGAUAGGACGGCCGCUUUACCACCUUAACGUUCAAAAGGAGGAAACACGCCAAAACACGGAGAGCAUCUGUGAUCCACGAUCCUUGAUGCAGACAUAGCAGAGAGUACGAGAAGAACGAAGAAAAAGAGAAAAGAAUGUUCAGGAACAUUCUCAGGUGCAAAAGGACGGAGCUCUGAAGAGUUGGAUUGGCCUAACUGAUUGGCCCAAGACAUUACAGAGGCAGAAGCAGGCAGUGGAAUCACCAGCCCACGGUUACCUUGCUAUAGGGAGGACUUUCAAAGGGUUGGAACCCAAGCUCCGUGGUUUGGCUCCUUUGAAAGCCAGCCUUUCCCGGUUCUCCUGACCACGGGAGCAGGCCCACUAGUUCAACGGGGCCUUGCCUGCCAAGUCCGUGGCAUGCCCAGGGCUGCUGGGUGAGUUCAUGCUCCAUCCCGGAAGGGUCGGGGCCUCUGGGACGCAAUCAGAACUCCAGGAAACUCGGCGCGGGAAAGGCUGUGAGUGGCUACUUGGGGUUUGGCUCCUGGCCUGGCCAACCCCAGCCAGCCGGCCAUGCCCAGCCAACGGACUCUGUGGGCAGACUUUUCAGAGUUGUGCGGACAGCCCAGUAGCAGCGAUAUUGAAAACAUUGCCUUGGGGCGCCUGGGUGGCUCAGUCAAAUGUCUCUCUGUCAAAUAAAUAACAUAUUUAAAAAACAAAAAACAAAAAA